GAUUAUGUAGCUCAAUGGUCAGAGCGCUGCCAGUCCAGGUAAAGAUCCAGGUUCGAAUCCUGGCAUACAUCCA
rnacentral:tRNA from 1 species